rnacentral:rRNA from 1 species
UUAAUUGAAGAGUUUGAUCAUGGCUCAGAUUGAACGCUGGCGGCAGGCCUAACACAUGCAAGUCGAGCGGCAGCACAGAGAAACUUGUUUCUCGGGUGGCGAGCGGCGGACGGGUGAGUAAUGCCUGGGAAAUUGCCCUGAUGUGGGGGAUAACCAUUGGAAACGAUGGCUAAUACCGCAUGAUAGCUUCGGCUCAAAGAGGGGGACCUUCGGGCCUCUCGCGUCAGGAUAUGCCCAGGUGGGAUUAGCUAGUUGGUGAGGUAAGGGCUCACCAAGGCGACGAUCCCUAGCUGGUCUGAGAGGAUGAUCAGCCACA